ACCUUCUCAAUGAUGAC
rnacentral:rRNA from 1 species